CGCUCUUCUGCGCUCUCUGCGUCUCUCUUUGUCUCUCCCUCUUUCGCUUCUCCUCUCCCCUUUUCUCGGUCCUAUAUAUCAUGCAGAGGUUCCAGGCUUGUGCUCGCUAAUACUAUGGGUUAGCACUAUAGUAGGAGCAGGGAUUUGAACCUGCAUCCUCACAGGUCAAGGCAAAGACUCGACCACUACGGCAUCUGCUGCCCUCAGCAUCCUGCAUGGUGUCGGAAAACUUCAGAUGAUCAGGAAGCAUGGAGUCCGUCACAGUGGUGUCAGAAUGAUGCUGGGGUUCCAUCUAUGAGGUCAGAGGAUGACGGGGGAGAGAAGCGGACUUUCUGCAGCACUCCCUCCGGAGUUCAGCUUUAUGAUUUGUGCUGGAAGCUCCAAGCCACGCGUCUGUGAUGCGUUUCCAUGUUCCCGGUGUAAUCCCUUCACAUUCCCAACGCAUGAAUGCACUGAGAGGGAAAACCUGGGAUGUGAGAUGGGAGAGAAAUUAAUUCAAAUCCCUCUUCCUCGGGAAAAAAAAGAACAAAAAAAUUAACUGUCUUAUUUAUUUCUCACCAGUGUCCCUUGGUCAACGUCUCUCUAUCCCCUCUCGAGUGCACCCUGCAAAGACAUUGGUAGAGCUCUGGUUAGGCACGGGUUAAACCCAUUGCACCAUAAAACUGGGGCUGUUCAUGAAAUGGAGGAAUAAGAAGCAGAAAUAAUAUUUCAAGUAUGAUUAGUUCAUCCGCAGGGCACCUUGUGCGAUUGGGGGAGGGCAGGGGGGAGUGGGGGGUGCAUUGUGCGCGGCAAGCAGUAAAUUACAUCUAGCCUUUGAAUGAUUUCUGCAGAUCCCAUUACGACAGUGAGAGAGAAAAGGGGUGGGGGGGAGCGAAACAGGAGAAUGAAUCAAAUGAAUCUGUUUCCAAAUGUCCGAACGGAAGGAAAGACAAGGGGGCUGAGAGUGGACAAACCCAGAUUUCUUAUCAUUUCCAUAUGCUCCCUUCUUUUUACAUAGAAAAGUGGUGGUAUUUUUUACUUUUUCCCCUUGAUUUCUUAUUGUUGUGUGUCUUUGACAGGGAACAGCAAGUAAAUCCGUCCUCACAUUUAAGCUCUUCUCUCGUGCAAUUCACCAGCCUGAGUGCUGAUCUGACAUUUGGGACGCUAUUUGCGCAAGAGGAUGCUGUUCUGAAAAAAGGUGCCUUUGAUGAAAACAGUAGUAAGAAGGACAGCAGCUAUGGAACCAGACUUGUCGAUUGCAAACUAUCCAGCUUUACAGAUGGGUCAAAGUGUUAAAUUGUACAGUAGAUUACUUUGGAUAAAACCAUCAGCCAAGCAAAUAAAUAAUGUAAUGAAAGUUUUCACCUCAGUACACGGGCUGCAGUCACCUAAUUAUUGCAUGUAAUCCAUCUAUGUCACCAGUCCAUGGCCAGUCGCCCCCUUUGUGUUGAUGAUCAUUUGCUACACACGCAAAGUGCUCAGCGCUGUCUGUUAACUGCAUGUGUGGGGAAUAUGUUAAUGUGUGUGUGAAGCUAAACAAUAACGAUAGUGGGCACUCUGAGGAUAUGUUUUGUUGGCAUUUGAAGAACUCGUGUGUGGGUGUCAGCAAGCGGCAGUAAGUCUGCUUCUCUUUGGAAAUGUCAGUCUUAAAAAGCCAGCUGGGAGUACGGUUAUAUAUCCUAUUCCCCAUUUAGCCCAGUCAUGGCAUGUGAUAUGUUCCUGUCCAACCAGUAUUUGCUGCUGUGGAACUGUUAAAAUGCUGAAUGCAAUCCUGUUCUUCAAAACACUAAACUUAAUAUGCGUUGCACUGUCAUAAGUCACAAUGCACAUGGUGAUCUGUUAGGAAAAUCCACAAAAUGUAACCAUACCCUGCAAUAAUUCCAUGCUUGGCAUGAGCACCAAGAGGUUUGAUGAGCUGAGUUUUAUUUAUAGAAUUUAUUGACACAACUGUUAUCGGCAACAUCGUGCAAAAUUGAAAUAUGAAAACAGGUGAGAUCUUACGAAGACAGACCCACUGACAGUCACCUGCUCUCCUGCAUUACAUUACAGCAGAUAUAAUGUGUCAGCACAGAACUAAAUG